rnacentral:rRNA from 1 species
AUGCUGGAGGUAUCAGAAGUGCGAAUGCUGACAUAAGUAACGAUAAAGCGGGUGAAAAGCCCGCUCGCCGGAAGACCAAGGGUUCCUGUCCAACGUUAAUCGGGGCAGGGUGAGUCGACCCCUAAGGCGAGGCCGAAAGGCGUAGUCGAUGGGAAACAGGUCAAUAUUCCUGUACUUGGUGUUACUGCGAAGGGGGGACGGAGAAGGCUAUGUUGGCCGGGCGACGGUUGUCCCGGUUUAAGCGUGUAGGCUGGUUUUCCAGGCAAAUCCGGAAAAUCAAGGCUGAGGCGUGAUGACGAGGCACUACGGUGCUGAAGCAACAAAUGCCCUGCUUCCAGGAAAAGCCUCUAAGCAUCAGGUAACAUCAAAUCGUACCCCAAACCGACACAGGUGGUCAGGUAGAGAAUACCAAGGCGCUUGAGAGAACUCGGGUGAAGGAACUAGGCAAAAUGGUGCCGUAACUUCGGGAGAAGGCACGCUGAUAUGUAGGUGAAGUCCCUCGCGGAUGGAGCUGAAAUCAGUCGAAGAUACCAGCUGGCUGCAACUGUUUAUUAAAAACACAGCACUGUGCAAACACGAAAGUGGACGUAUACGGUGUGACGCCUGCCCGGUGCCGGAAGGUUAAUUGAUGGGGUCAGCGCAAGCGAAGCUCUUGAUCGAAGCCCCGGUAAACGGCGGCCGUAACUAUAACGGUCCUAAGGUAGCGAAAUUCCUUGUCGGGUAAGUUCCGACCUGCACGAAUGGCGUAAUGAUGGCCAGGCUGUCUCCACCCGAGACUCAGUGAAAUUGAACUCGCUGUGAAGAUGCAGUGUACCCGCGGCAAGACGGAAAGACCCCGUGAACCUUUACUAUAGCUUGACACUGAACAUUGAGCCUUGAUGUGUAGGAUAGGUGGGAGGCUUUGAAGUGUGGACGCCAGUCUGCAUGGAGCCGACCUUGAAAUACCACCCUUUAAUGUUUGAUGUUCUAACGUGGACCCGUGAUCCGGGUUGCGGACAGUGUCUGGUGGGUAGUUUGACUGGGGCGGUCUCCUCCUAAAGAGUAACGGAGGAGCACGAAGGUUGGCUAAUCCUGGUCGGACAUCAGGAGGUUAGUGCAAUGGCAUAAGCCAGCUUGACUGCGAGCGUGACGGCGCGAGCAGGUGCGAAAGCAGGUCAUAGUGAUCCGGUGGUUCUGAAUGGAAGGGCCAUCGCUCAACGGAUAAAAGGUACUCCGGGGAUAACAGGCUGAUACCGCCCAAGAGUUCAUAUCGACGGCGGUGUUUGGCACCUCGAUGUCGGCUCAUCACAUCCUGGGGCUGAAGUAGGUCCCAAGGGUAUGGCUGUUCGCCAUUUAAAGUGGUACGCGAGCUGGGUUUAGAACGUCGUGAGACAGUUCGGUCCCUAUCUGCCGUGGGCGCUGGAGAACUGAGGGGGGCUGCUCCUAGUACGAGAGGACCGGAGUGGACGCAUCACUGGUGUUCGGGUUGUCAUGCCAAUGGCACUGCCCGGUAGCUAAAUGCGGAAGAGAUAAGUGCUGAAAGCAUCUAAGCACGAAACUUGCCCCGAGAUGAGUUCUCCCUGACCCUUUAAGGGUCCUGAAGGAACGUUGAAGACGACGACGUUGAUAGGCCGGGUGUGUAAGCGCAGCGAUGCGUUGAGCUAACCGGUACUAAUGAACCGUGAGGCUUAACCU